CCUACGGGUGGCAGCAGUGGGGAAUAUUGGGCAAUGGGCGCAAGCCUGACCCAGCAACGCCGCGUGAAGGAAGAAGGCUUUCGGGUUGUAAACUUCUUUUAAGCGGGAAGAGAAGAAGACGGUACCUCUUGAAUAAGCCACGGCUAACUACGUGCCAGCAGCCGCGGUAAUACGUAGGUGGCAAGCGUUGUCCGGAUUUACUGGGUGUAAAGGGCGUGUAGCCGGGCUGACAAGUCAGAUGUGAAAUUCCGGGGCGCAACCCCGGACCUGCAUUUGAAACUGUUGGUCUUGAGUAUCGGAGAGGCAGGCGGAAUUCCUAGUGUAGCGGUGAAAUGCGUAGAGAUUAGGAGGAACACCAGUGGCGAAGGCGGCAUGCUGGACGACAACUGACGGUGAGGCGCGAAAGCGUGGGGAGCAAACAGGAUUAGAUACCCGAGUAGUC
rnacentral:rRNA from 1 species